rnacentral:rRNA from 1 species
CAGCAGCCGCGGGAAUACGUAGGUGGCAAGCGUUGUCCGGAAUUAUUGGGCGUAAAGGGCUCGCAGGCGGUUUCUUAAGUCUGAUGUGAAAGCCCCCGGCUCAACCGGGGAGGGUCAUUGGAAACUGGGAAACUUGAGUGCAGAAGAGGAGAGUGGAAUUCCACGUGUAGCGGUGAAAUGCGUAGAGAUGUGGAGGAACACCAGUAGCGAAGGCGACUCUCUGGUCUGUAACUGACGCUGAGGAGCGAAAGCGUGGGGAGCGAACAGGAUUAGAUACCCCUGUAGUCCCUGUCUCUUAUAC